rnacentral:rRNA from 1 species
GACGAACGCUGGCGGCGCGCUUAACACAUGCAAGUCGAACGGAAAGGCCUGCUUUCCCUUGUGGAUUGCGGGUACUCGAGUGGCGAACGGGUGAGUAACACGUGAGUGAUCUGCCCCCAACUUGGGUAUAAGCCUGGGAAACUGGGUCUAAUUCCCGAUAGGACUGCAGGGUGGUGCCUGUGGUGGAAAACGAUUUUCUAGUGGUUGGGGAUGAGCUCGCGGCCUAUCAGCUUGUUGGUGGGGUAAUGGCCUACCAAGGCGGCGACGGGUAGCCGGCCUGAGAGGGUGGACGGCCACAUUGGGACUGAGAUACGGCCCAGACUCCUACGGGAGGCAGCAGUGGGGAAUAUUGCACAAUGGGCGGAAGCCUGAUGCAGCGACGCCGCGUGGGGGAUGACGGCCUUCGGGUUGUAAACUCCUUUCGACCGCGAGGAAGCCACCUGGUUGGAAGGGUGGUGACGGUAGCGGUAGAAGAAGCACCGGCUAACUACGUG